rnacentral:rRNA from 1 species
UAAUACGGAGGGUGCGAGCGUUAUCCGGAAUUACUGGGUUUAAAGGGUGCGUAGGCGGCUAUGUAAGUCAGGAGUGAAAGUUUGCGGCUCAACCGUAAAAUUGCUUUUGAUACUGCAUGGCUAGAAUUAGGUUGAGGUUAGCGGAAUGUGGCAUGUAGCGGUGAAAUGCAUAGAUAUGCCAUAGAACACCAAUUGCGAAGGCAGCUGGCUAGACCUUUAUUGACGCUGAGGCACGAAAGCGUGGGGAGCGAACAGGAUUAGAUACCCUGGUAGUCCACGCCCUAAACGAUGCUCACUCGACGUAUGGCCCUAGAGGUUGUGCGUCCAAGGGAAACCGUUAAGUGAGCCACCUGGGGAGUACGACCGCAAGGUUG